UACGGAGGGUGCGAGCGUUAAUCGGAAUUACUGGGCGUAAAGCGCACGUAGGCGGUCAGGCAAGUCGGGUGUGAAAGCCCUGGGCUCAACCUGGGAAUUGCAUUCGAAACUAUCUGACUCGAGUAUGGGAGAGGGAAGCGGAAUUCCGGUGUAGCGGUGAAAUGCGUGGAUAUCGGAAGGAACACCAGUGGCGAAGGCGGCUUCCU
rnacentral:rRNA from 1 species